UACGUAGGGUGCGAGCGUUGUCCGGAAUUUAUUGGGCGUAAAGGGCUCGUAGGCGGUUUGUCGCGUCGGGAGUGAAAACCCAGGGCUUAACCCUGGGCUGGCUUUCGAUACGGGCAGACUAGAGGUAUGCAGGGGAGAACGGAAUUCCUGGUGUAGCGGUGAAAUGCGCAGAUAUCAGGAGGAACACCAGUGGCGAAGGCGGGUCUCUGGGCCGAUACUGACGUGAGGAGCGAAAGCGUGGGGAGCGAACAGG
rnacentral:rRNA from 1 species